rnacentral:lncRNA from 10 species
GAAAAUAGGAAAGAAAAAAAAACCCAAGCUAACAUGUUCCUCAUUUCUACAACAUUAUCUCAUAGAAAUAGCAUUACUCACCUGACCGCGAGUUCAGAAAACAAAGUGGAGAACCUCUGUGCACACCUGAAAAUGAAAAAUAAAAAAUAAAAAGCAAAAUUAGACCAAUGGAAAGUGGACUUUCUUGACAGCAUAAUACUUCAAUACUGCAGUGAGCUCAUCAGCCGACGCCCCCUGGGCUCCCUACUGCACGUCACAGCUUGAACUUGGCAGUGGAGUUACAGAAAAAAUGGAUGUAAACCCUGCUGCUGAGGAACUUAUAUAUAAACUGGAAGCACAAGCCCAAAGCCAGUUUGGGGACUGAUCUUGUUAAUGUGUUUUGUUUUGUUUUGUUUUGUUUUGAGACGGAGUCUCACUCUGUCACCCAGGCUGGAGUGCAGUGGCAUGAUCUCGGCUCACUGCAGCCUCUACCUCCCAGGUUCAAGCAAUUCUCUGGCCUCAGCCUCCUGAGCAGCUGGUAUUACAGGCACACGCUACCACA